AAAUUGAAGAGUUUGAUCAUGGCUCAGAUUGAACGCUGGCGGCAGGCCUAACACAUGCAAGUCGAACGGUAACAGGAAACAGCUUGCUGUUUCGCUGACGAGUGGCGGACGGGUGAGUAAUGUCUGGGAAACUGCCUGAUGGAGGGGGAUAACUACUGGAAACGGUAGCUAAUACCGCAUAACGUCGCAAGACCAAAGAGGGGGACCUUCGGGCCUCUUGCCAUCGGAUGUGCCCAGAUGG
rnacentral:rRNA from 2 species